rnacentral:SRP_RNA from 1 species
GCAUGGAAUAGGCCGGGGGGUUAGGCGUCCCCUGUAACCAGAAACCGCCUUUCGCUGGGGCCGAAGCCAGUGGGGCGGCGCAAACCGCAGGCAUAGAUCCACUGCUGAACGAUGAGGCCUCGUCCUCUGGGGUCAAAGGUGAUAGGUGGGCAAAUUGGAGGAUUUGUCCGCCUGUCUUUACUUGGAAGAAUGGGCCAGGCCCGGAAGGGAGCAGUCCGGUCCAAGACUGUUGAUGCUCAGAGGGGUGCGGGGUUGAGAUAAGCAUGGGUAAAUCUCUGUCUGCUUUUUGCGUCCACCCACGGCAUUUCCAUGC